rnacentral:rRNA from 1 species
ACUUUAGUGGCGAACGGGUGAGUAAUACAUAGGUAACCUACCCUUAAGACGAGGAUAGCCAUUGGAAACGAUGGAUAAAACUGGAUAGGAUAUAGAGGAAGAAUCUUUUAUAUUUAAAAGAGAGAUCUGCUUAAGGAGGGGCCUGUGGCGCAUUAGCUAGUUGGUGGGGUAAGGGCCUACCAAGGCGAUGAUGCGUAGCCGGACUGAGAGGUUGAACGGCCACAAUGGAACUGAGAACGGUCCAUACUCCUACGGGAGGCAGCAGUAGGGAAUUUUCGGCAAUGGGGGGAACCCUGACCGAGCAACGCCGCGUGAACGAAGAAGUUAUUCGUAAUGUAAAGUUCUUUUAUCAGGGAAGAAAGAGGAAUUUGACGGUACCUGAGGAAUAAGCUCCGGCUAACUACGUGCCAGCAGCCGCGGUAAUACGUAGGGAGCGAGCGUUAUCCGGAAUUAUUGGGCGUAAAGGGUGCGUAGAUGGCAUAGUAAGUCUUUUGUAAAAAUGCUGGGCUCAACCCAGUAGGGCAAAAGAUACUGCAAAGCUAGAGUAUGACAGAGGCAAGUGGAACUACAUGUGUAGCGGUAAAAUGCGUAAAUAUAUGUAAGAACACCAGUGGCGAAGGCGGCUUGCUGGGUCGAUACUGACAUUGAGGCACGAAAGCGUGGGGAGCAAACAGGAUUAGAUACCCUGGUAGUCCACGCCC